rnacentral:lncRNA from 1 species
AUGGAAGUCUACUUAAAAUGCUGAAAAGAUAAUGCUCUUCCAUGGGGUUACCAAUUUGUGAUCAGUAUUUUCAGAGAGUCCAAGACUGAGUGCAUAAAAUGCAAGAAAAGAAAAAGAUGGAAAUCUUCAAGCGCGCUUCUGGAUCUAGAAGAUAUUGACCUUAUUCUACUGAGGAUCUGAGUCUCUGGUUAAACGUUCUCUUCCAGGUCAGUGUUUCUUUAAAAAAAAAAAAAAAAUCUUUGCUAUGU